CAGGAUUUCCCUAAGCAGUGAAUAAUAGUAUGACAGAUUGACCUGUGAAUGACUGUUCAGCUCUAAGCAAGUCCACACUCUUUUAGAAAAAAACAGCUUCUUAUCUCUGUAAUAAUUCUUGAUUUUCCUAGAGAUGAAACAAAACAAUAGUCUUUGAAAAUCUUGGGUAGUUUGACGUGUUAGUUUUCAGCAGAGUAAUUUUGCCAUUUUCAAUCAUGAAUUAGAUGUGGAUUGCUUUCAAACACUGAAAAUCAUACUUCUUUCCUAAGAGACCUUUGUACUGCAUUAAUCUCUUGGCCUUUACUGGGGGGAAAGGGGGGAAGUGGAAUUGAUCUGUCUUAAAUCUGAAUUUUUCUUCUGUUCAGACCAGAGGGUUAAAUCCAUAGGAGGAAAUUAGACUUAAAAGGAGAGAGACAAGUUAUUCACACUCCCUAAAACUGAGUAAUAAUUGAGGUCCAUCGACUAUACUAUAUUUAGCACCUCAUAACCCAGUGAUAAUGGCAGUUCCUUUGGUGGUGGCAGGAGAUCAACAGUCCAUAUGCUGCUCCAAAUCAGAUCAAGUGCUUUGAACCUAGAUGUAUUAUUCCUUGUGUGACUGGUUUAAGGCAGCAAGAACGAGAAUCGUGGAGACCACUACAAUAUUCUCCUCACCAUGUUUCUGUUCAAGAGUUGACCUUAUACUCAGAUCCCUCGGCAUAUAUACUUCUACCCAUUCACAAUAGCAUAAUCUAAUUUACAGUCAUAGUUUAACUUCGUUUGGACCAACAAAUUUGGCAGCGAUGUGCAACUGCCUCAGGGUGGGAACAGCAGAUCUUACUGAAGCUGGAUAUUCAUAGGAUAAGUACAGACAACCUUCUUAGCAACUUAUGAACAGUGCUCGUAACUUUACUGCAUCUUGAGACACAGUUCAGUGCCAGUAGUUUUCCUUGUUUUGUUGAUGGAUAUUGGCUCCUCCCAAAUGAAGUAAAAGUUACUGUGUUUGGCUGGAGGAGAAAAGAAAAUGUUUAACAUUUAAACAUUUAAAACUUGUAGUAGUUUAUUCAAAGGGUAAAGCCUUGAAGACGUUUAAGAAAAAAG
rnacentral:lncRNA from 1 species